AAAAAGUUGUCGAUGUUAAUUGUAACGCCCCAUUUUUAUUUAAUUAUUUUUAGUUGAUUUAAAGUCUUUUUAUAUGAUUUUUAAAUGAUUUACGUUGAUUUUGUGGUGUGGUAUAUUUUAUUAAAUGACUAUUUUAUUAUUUAAUAGAAUAAGUGAGAAAUAGGAUUUAAUUGGAGUUUGGGGGUUUUACGAGAAUUAAGUAAACUUAGGGGGAGUAAAGUGAAUAUUGGGAAGAUUAUAUUUAUAAAAGAAUUAGAAAAUAGAAGUGAGGAAAGCAGUUUUUACGUACAACAGAGAAAAGGGAGAAAAGUCAAGAAAAGGGAAGAGAACCAAG
rnacentral:lncRNA from 1 species